UCUACGGGGGGCUGCAGUGGGGAAUAUUGGACAAUGGGCGAAAGCCUGAUCCAGCCAUGCCGCGUGUGUGAAGAAGGCCUUCGGGUUGUAAAGCACUUUCAGUGGGGAAGAAAGCCUUGGGGCUAAUACCCUCGAGGAAGGACAUCACCCACAGAAGAAGCACCGGCUAACUCCGUGCCAGCAGCCGCGGUAAUACGGAGGUUCGAGCGUUAAUCGGAAUUACUGGGCGUAAAGCGCGCGUAGGCGGUCUGAUAAGCCGGUUGUGAAAGCCCCGGGCUCAACCUGGGAACGGCAUCCGGAACUGUCAGGCUAGAGUGCAGGAGAGGAAGGUAGAAUUCCCGGUGUAGCGGUGAAAUGCGUAGAGAUCGGGAGGAAUACCAGUGGCGAAGGCGGCCUUCUGGACUGACACUGACGCUGAGGUGCGAAAGCGUGGGUAGCAAACAGGAUUAGAUACCCGAGUAGUC
rnacentral:rRNA from 1 species